CACGGCGGGUGCUAACGUCCGUCGUGAAGAGGGAAACAACCCAGACCGCCAGCUAAGGUCCCAAAGUCAUGGUUAAGUGGGAAACGAUGUGGGAAGGCCCAGACAGCCAGGAUGUUGGCUUAGAAGCAGCCAUCAUUUAAAGAAAGCGUAAUAGCUCACUGGUCGAGUCGGCCUGCGCGGAAGAUGUAACGGGGCUAAACCAUGCACCGAAGCUGCGGCAGCGACACUAUGUGUUGUUGGGUAGGGGAGCGUUCUGUAAGCCUGUGAAGGUGUGCUGUGAGGCAUGCUGGAGGUAUCAGAAGUGCGAAUGCUGACAUAAGUAACGAUAAAGCGGGUGAAAAGCCCGCUCGCCGGAAGACCAAGGGUUCCUGUCCAACGUUAAUCGGGGCAGGGUGAGUCGACCCCUAAGGCGAGGCCGAAAGGCGUAGUCGAUGGGAAACAGGUUAAUAUUCCUGUACUUGGUGUUACUGCGAAGGGGGGACGGAGAAGGCUAUGUUGGCCGGGCGACGGUUGUCCCGGUUUAAGCGUGUAGGCUGAUUUUCCAGGCAAAUCCGGAAAAUCAAGGCUGAGGCGUGAUGACGAGGCACUACGGUGCUGAAGCAACAAAUGCCCUGCUUCCAGGAAAAGCCUCUAAGCAUCAGGUAACAUCAAAUCGUACCCCAAACCGACACAGGUGGUCAGGUAGAGAAUACCAAGGCGCUUGAGAGAACUCGGGUGAAGGAACUAGGCAAAAUGGUGCCGUAACUUCGGGAGAAGGCACGCUGAUAUGUAGGUGAAGCGACUUGCUCGUGGAGCUGAAAUCAGUCGAAGAUACCAGCUGGCUGCAACUGUUUAUUAAAAACACAGCACUGUGCAAACACGAAAGUGGACGUAUACGGUGUGACGCCUGCCCGGUGCCGGAAGGUUAAUUGAUGGGGUUAGCGGUAACGCGAAGCUCUUGAUCGAAGCCCCGGUAAACGGCGGCCGUAACUAUAACGGUCCUAAGGUAGCGAAAUUCCUUGUCGGGUAAGUUCCGACCUGCACGAAUGGCGUAAUGAUGGCCAGGCUGUCUCCACCCGAGACUCAGUGAAAUUGAACUCGCUGUGAAGAUGCAGUGUACCCGCGGCAAGACGGAAAGACCCCGUGAACCUUUACUAUAGCUUGACACUGAACAUUGAGCCUUGAUGUGUAGGAUAGGUGGGAGGCUUUGAAGUGUGGACGCCAGUCUGCAUGGAGCCGACCUUGAAAUACCACCCUUUAAUGUUUGAUGUUCUAACGUUGGCCCGUUAUCCGGGUUGCGGACAGUGUCUGGUGGGUAGUUUGACUGGGGCGGUCUCCUCCUAAAGAGUAACGGAGGAGCACGAAGGUUGGCUAAUCCUGGUCGGACAUCAGGAGGUUAGUGCAAUGGCAUAAGCCAGCUUGACUGCGAGCGUGACGGCGCGAGCAGGUGCGAAAGCAGGUCAUAGUGAUCCGGUGGUUCUGAAUGGAAGGGCCAUCGCUCAACGGAUAAAAGGUACUCCGGGGAUAACAGGCUGAUACCGCCCAAGAGUUCAUAUCGACGGCGGUGUUUGGCACCUCGAUGUCGGCUCAUCACAUCCUGGGGCUGAAGUAGGUCCCAAGGGUAUGGCUGUUCGCCAUUUAAAGUGGUACGCGAGCUGGGUUUAGAACGUCGUGAGACAGUUCGGUCCCUAUCUGCCGUGGGCGCUGGAGAACUGAGGGGGGCUGCUCCUAGUACGAGAGGACCGGAGUGGACGCAUCACUGGUGUUCGGGUUGUCAUGCCAAUGGCACUGCCCGGUAGCUAAAUGCGGAAGAGAUAAGUGCUGAAAGCAUCUAAGCACGAAACUUGCCCCG
rnacentral:rRNA from 1 species